AAUUGGACUUUUACUUAAUAAUCCCAGUGCGGGGGCCAGCGAUAUCAACUCAAAGCUGUGCUCACCUCUCUUAUCCAUAUAUAAGGCUCAGGUCCCAAUGAGUCAAACUCUAGCCAUAACUACCCAUCCUACCUAUAUCCAUAUCCACACCAUAUUUAUGCUAACACACACAGCUCCAAGUUAUUUUAAAGUGACAUUUACAAACAAAUUCAAUAACAUAUGUAG
rnacentral:misc_RNA from 1 species